rnacentral:rRNA from 1 species
UACGAAGGGUGCAAACGUUGCUCGGAAUUAUUGGGCGUAAAGCGCGCGUAGGCGGCUUGGCAAGUCGGAUGUGAAAUCCCUCGGCUCAACCAAGGAAGUGCAUCCGAAACUGCUGAGCUUGAGUACUUAAGAGGAUCGCGGAAUGCUUGGUGUAGAGGUGAAAUUCGUAGAUAUCAAGCGGAACACCGGUGGCGAAGGCGGCCUUCUGGACGAUGACUGACGCUGAGACGCGAAAGCGUGGGGAGCAAACAGG